UACGUAGGGUGCAAGCGUUAUCCGGAAUUAUUGGGCGUAAAGAGCUCGUAGGCGGUUUGUCACGUCUGCUGUGAAAACUGGAGGCUCAACCUCCAGCCUGCAGUGGGUACGGGCAGACUAGAGUGCGGUAGGGGAGAUUGGAAUUCCUGGUGUAGCGGUGGAAUGCGCAGAUAUCAGGAGGAACACCGAUGGCGAAGGCAGAUCUCUGGGACGUAACUGACGCUGAGGAGCGAAAGCAUGGGGAGCGAACAGG
rnacentral:rRNA from 1 species